rnacentral:rRNA from 1 species
UACGGAGGGUGCAAGCGUUGCUCGGAAUUAUUGGGCGUAAAGGGCAGGUAGGUGGUCUUAUUUGUCUGGGGUGAAAGCCUUGAGCUUAACUCAAGAAGUGCCUCAGAAACGGUGAGACUGGAGUCCUGGAGAGGGUCGUGGAAUUCCCGGUGUAGCGGUGAAAUGCGUAGAGAUCGGGAGGAACACCAGAGGCGAAAGCGGCGACCUGGACAGGCACUGACACUCAACUGCGAAAGCGUGGGGAGCAAACAGG